GCCAGUGUGAUGUAGUGCUUUGAGUGUUGGACUGUGAUUUUAGACUCUAGAAACCAGGGUUCAAAUCCCUGCUCAGCCA